rnacentral:lncRNA from 1 species
CUCCUUCUUCCAUUUGCAUGUGUUUUCCCAGUUCCCAAUCCAGUAGAGUGCUUAAAAGGAUGUUUUGCUUCUCCCCAAUGGAGUUGAUGAAAUCAGAAAAAGGCUCAGUGAACAUAGCAAUUUUGGGCUUGCUAGAAAGGCCCAAAAGUUGUGUGAGAUGGGCUUGUGUUUUAUUCAGAUUUAAAGUGUGCUCAGGGGGCCCACUUCCACUAGCCAUGUGACUGUUGUCCUUUUCUUGUACCCCUUCCUUGUAAACCUCGAUAUCCAUUGUUUUCUUUGACCUUUUCCUCUUUCUAACACUCUAUUUAUGUCUUCUAGCAGCAUAGGUCUGUCUUUUGUACCAUCAAGAAGUAUGUCACUAUCACCUUGAUCUGCUCUCAUCUCCACCUCCAUCAAUUUAUAUGUCGCCGGCGACUCCACCCAUACCGGCAAUGAGUAUAUCAAACCAUUAUCGACGAUCUCAAUCUUCGUGGGGAUCUUCUCCCUUCGUCCUCUAACUCUGAUUCUUGCCCAUCUCAGAUGAUUUUUUAUUUAUGUCUCCUCUUCAGUUUCUAGCCACCCCCCACAUUCAUCACCUAUCUUCUCCAUCACCUUGUUGUUCCAGAGCUGCA